rnacentral:misc_RNA from 1 species
UACGUAGGGGGCAAGCGCUAUCCGGAAUUAUUGGGCAUAAAGAGUAUGUAGGCGGUGAUUUAAGUUAGAUGUGAAAUGUCUCGGCUCAACCGAGGCCUGCAUUUAAAACUGAAUUGCUAGAGUCCAGGAGAGGAAAGCGGAACUCACGGUGUAGCGGUGAAAUGCGUAGAUAUCGUGAGGAACACCAGUGGCGAAGGCGGCUUUCUGGCCUGGUACUGACGCUGAGAUACGAAAGCGUGGGGAGCGAACGGG